rnacentral:tRNA from 1 species
GCCUUCGUGGUGUAACGGUAGCACACUCGGCGCGUAUUCGAGAGGUCCAGGUUCGAGUCCCAGCGCGGGCA